GUGCCUAGAAGCCUCUCGGUGUGCCUCCAGUUCUUACUACGGAGGCCACGCUGCCAGCGGCGGCAGCGACGGCGCUGCUGCGUGCGCCUCCAUCGAGCCCUCGCGGAUGUCGUUUCCUGGACAAUAAUAGUGCUGCUGCAUCCGCCUCCAUCCAUCCCACGUUUCCUCGAGGAGAUGAUCCUUUUUGAUAUAUUCACAGAUGUAGUGGGCAUAACCAACUAGGAUCAUAUAUAAAUACCAUUGCAAGGGACAUCUAGCUCCACGUUGAUAUUACUGACGCCUAAUGUUGACCUUGGAUUAACAAUAUAUAUCGUGGGUUCACAUAGAAAUACAAAGUUAGCAUGACAAUAUCGUAAGCGAGUGCUAAAUCAACAUCGAUUGGUUCUUAGAGGUAAACAGUUCACAACUCCAGGCAACAACUCCAGCAAUUGAUGAAGGGAUUCCAGCAUCCACCAAGAAACUGAUGAAGGGAGUUCCUGUGCUCGUGCGCUUCAAGUCUGUGAAACAUCAGAUGCUACGCCUAGGCACUUGCAUCACGUGCCCUCGCUCGAGCUGCUGCGGUGAUUGGCGGCGGGGUCGGCGGAGCCGCGGAGGCACCCAGGUUAGCGCAAGAACUGCCGGGCCGGCAACAAGUGCGAGCGGAGGCAAAGCCGAGACGCCGAUCUGCAACUGGAGUUGAUGGCGAGGUGGAUGAAGGAGCAGCAGAAUAUCCAGGCGCCGAUGUCAUCUCCACCGCCGUUGAAGUCUCUCACGCCGCCCCGGCCCAACAAUUCCCGCCUUCCUCCACCAAUAAAACAUCGCACGAUACAAGAUUAACGCGGGGAAGCAGCUAGCUGGCCGCGAACUAAGGUGAUUAGGAGACGAUCCACGACACGCAUACUUAGACCUUAUUCGGUUAUAUGAGAUAAAUCACACUAUAGAUUUAAUUUGAGUAUAAAUUGAGUGAAUUCAUACCUCACACCUAAUUCUAUGGUGGGAUUAAAUCUAUCA